UACGGAGGGUGCAAGCGUUAUCCGGAUUCACUGGGUUUAAAGGGUGCGUAGGCGGGCAGGUAAGUCCGUGGUGAAAUCUCUGAGCUUAACUCAGAAACUGCCAUGGAUACUAUUUGUCUUGAAUAUUGUGGAGGUAAGCGGAAUGUGUCAUGUAGCGGUGAAAUGCUUAGAUAUGACAUAGAACACCGAUUGCGAAGGCAGCUUGCUACACGAUCAUUGACACUGAGGCACGAAAGCGUGGGGAUCAAACAGG
rnacentral:rRNA from 1 species